rnacentral:lncRNA from 13 species
GUAGACCAGACCUCCCUAGAAUAGGAGUGACUAAACAGGAACAGUGUUUUAUAUUGUAGUAGACCAGACCUCCCUAGAAUAGGAGUGACUAAACAGGAACAGUGUUUUAUAUUGUAGACCAGACCAGACCUCCCUAGAAUAGGAGUGACUAAACAGGAACAGUGUUUUAUAAUGUAGACCAGACCUCCCUAGAAUAGGAGUGACUAAACAGAAACAGUGUGUUGUGAUAUUAUAGAUGAAGAAAGUCUUGCCCUUGACUGAGAAGUCUUGAAGGAAGACAUUUGUUUCUUUAGGAGAGUUUUAAUUGAAAAUAAUCACGGUAAGGUUCUUAACUGUUAGCCAGAAAUCGUUUCAUUAUUGAGAUAGAAAU